GAUGAAGAUGAUGAAGAUGACAAUGAAGAGACCACAUCUGCUGUGACAGAAGUGGACAAUGCUGGUAGAUCCACUGAGUACAUACCCAGGGAUUUGCCCACAGAUGAGGGUCCUUCAACCUCAGCACACAAUCUAAGCAGGUUGCCAGCAAAGAAGCUGUAUAAGGUCCAUCUUCAAAAACAAAUAAGAAUAAGUGACAUGUAGAUGGACCUUCUACAGCUUCAAAUGGAAGAGAAAAGACUCCUCAUUAAAAAAGCAGCAUUGGAAAUUGAAUUACUGGAGCAUCGCCUUAAGGAAAUAAAGAAAUACACUGCCUGGCAGAC